AUGACUGCCAGCACUGUGAGCAGCAGGGCUGUCUCCAGCCGUCGACAGGACCAAACAGUAUCUCGGAAGCAUCAGCGAACACGUGUGGACAGAAGGUGCAGCACCCCCGUGAACCGGCCUCGCCCCACCACGGCCUCUCCUUCCAGCAGUCCCUCGGCUCCCCCCAGCCCUGCUCCACGGUGCCCGCCCCCAGCCCAAGGUGCUCACGACUGCCCACAAGAACCCAAACUCAGCCAUCGGAAGGCUGGGCCGCGGGGCUACGGAGCCUCCAGAGAUGACUCUGCCCCACAGGAUGCCGGCUUCAUCUUCCACAGCCCGCAGGCAGUUCCAGGCACCCCUUCUUGCUGGCAAAAUGGGAGUUCACAGGCCAGAGGAGCCAUCAGUCCUAACACAGCACAAAGAAGGAAACACGACCAUGAGAGAACGGAGAAGGGCCACCCUAGGCAGCCAGCCAAAGGGGCAAGAGGUAAAAAGAGUGGAAGUGGCGCGCCGUCGAGAUUCCCCAAAAGAAAAUAGAAAACCAUCUUGGACAACCAGCUAUAGCGCGUACCAACAAAUAAAAAGAAGACAUUCUGGAGUUCCCGCUGUGAC
rnacentral:lncRNA from 1 species